rnacentral:rRNA from 1 species
AUACGGAGGGUCCGAGCGUUAUCCGGAAUCAUUGGGUUUAAAGGGUCCGUAGGCGGGAAUCUAAGUCAGUGGUGAAAUCUUGCAGCUCGACUGUAAAAUUGCCAUUGAUACUGGAUUUCUUGAAUUAGUGUGAAGUGAUUAGAAUGUGUAGUGUAGCGGUGAAAUGCAUAGAUAUUACACAGAAUACCAAUUGCGAAGGCAGAUCACUAACACUAUAUUGACGCUGAGGGACGAAAGCGUGGGGAGCGAACAGAAUUAGAAACCCCGGUAGUCC